ACGGUAUAACGUUGACCGGUGCUCAGUAGUUUCGGGAUUGGUCAAGUAUGGUACAAACAGUGCUCCCUUAAGUUUCCGAGUAAGGGAAACUCCUCGGUUCGGGACUUGCAAGAUCCAAGCCAUUGAGUAAUCACGAAACUUCUAAGUACCGAAGUGUGGUAUCAUUUUCACUUGCCUUAUCUGUCUCAUAUGUAGAUGUGGCAUUUUCUCUAGAAGUACUUUUCCUCCAUCCAGGGGUGGUAUCUUUAACCGAUGAAGAUGCACAAGGUAAUGUAUCAAUUUCACUUGAAGCUUACUUGUAGUUUCGGGCUUGGUCAAGUGCGAUACAAACCCUAUAGUAAGAGUCCCCCAAGUAGUCGAGCUAGGAGAUUUGCCGAAGGAGGUAACAGACAAGGUAAGCAAUCAGACUUCCAAGCAAGCAACCUGGAUCGGAGGUUCGACUUCGGCUUCCGGUUAAUUGUUCUCCUUCUCAUUGUGUCGUAAACAGCAACAAGGAUAAGGAGAAGCAAAUGCAGAAAAGAUGAUAUGAGAUACCUUUACUUUUGAAGAAGUAACUUUCCACAGGCUUAUUCUUGAACUGGGCUGGAGGGUUUUCUGGUUUCCUCCAUAGUAUAAGGCCGACUCAAGAAUUUGAGGGUCAAAACAAGUUCAUCAAAUCUAGAGUAUGUUUGACCCUGAUGAUAUGUGAUACUUUUGCUGUUGACAAAGUAGUGGAUGUAUCAGCACGUGUUCUGUUACGCUUGUCUUCACAUGUUUCCUUGUAUCAUUCUCACUUGCCCUAUUUGUUCCUCAGGCAGAUGUGGUAUCUUCUCUGGAAGCAUAAGAUGUUGAAGAUGAGUACUUGAGAGCAAUGCCAGGUGAGUAAUCAGGCAAGGGGUUCCAGGCAGUCAGUUCCUGACUGGAAGCUUGAUUCCAAGUGUUGAUUGAUUGCUCUCUUUCUCCUUGUCUUGCAGGUAAGGACAAGGCCAAAGGAAAAGAUAGGGAAAAAGCAUGAUAUGGGAUACUCUUGCUUUUAACCCUGAUGAUAUGAGAUACUCUUGCUCUGGUGUGGCUUGUUUGCAGAGGUAUUAUCAUGAGGAAAAGAAGCUGAGUAUUUCGAGAGACUUUGCUGAGAGUGCCUUCUCGGAUGUGAAGAAAAGUUGAGUAUUUUUUUUUAUUUGCAGGUCUGCCUGGCUGUGAAGGAUGGAGGUCGACAUAUAUAGGAGUUUCCCUAACAACAAGUAGUAGUGCUAUUCCUUUACCCUUCUUGGUCAUAGCAAUGUAGUGGGAGUUGCAAGUUUCACGUGUUUUAACUUUGUCAGAGCACUUUGAAAAAGUGGUCUGUGGUAUUUGGAAAGCUGAUGUUGCGUGUGAAGAUUGCAGACAAGCUUUAUCCAAGGAAAUCUGGCUCUCGAAGUUCAGAGAGCGGUGCCUCUUCGGUUUUUGAACAAGCAAUCCUGUCAGGGAUCUGACUCUCGAGAUUCAGAGAACAGUGCCUCUUCGAUUUUUGAGAAAGUAAUCAUGCUGGGAGUCUGACUCUUGAGAUUCGGAGAGUAGUGUCUCUUCGAUUUUUUAGAAAGUAAUCCUGUUGGGAGUCUGGCUCUCGAGAUUCGGAGGGCGGUGCGUCUUCAAUUUUUGAGCACGUAAUCCUGUUGGGAGUCUGGCUCUCGAGAUUCGGAGAGCGGUGCCUCUUCAAUUUUUGAGAAAGCAAUCUUGUUGAGAGUCUGACUCUUGAGAUUCGGAGAACAGUGUCUCUUUGAUUUUUGAGAAAGUAAUCCUGUUGGGAGUCUGGCUCUCAAGAUUCAAAGGGCAGUGCUUCUUCGAUUUUUUAGCACGUAAUCCUAUUGGGAGUCUGGCUCUCAAGAUUCGGAGAGCGGUGCCUUUUCGAUUUUUGAGCAAGCAAUCUUGUUGGGAGUGUUUUCUCGAAUGUGAGUAAAGGUUGGGCAUUUUUACCAGUCUGUCUUGCCACGGAGCACGGAGGUUGACACACAUUGGGACUUUCUAGUUAUCAAGCAAUGGUGCUGUUCCUUUACCCUUGUGGGUAAUAGUAGGGUAGCUGGACCUUCAAAAUUUAUGUGUCUAAACUUUGUCAAAGAUUUUUGGCAAAGUUAUUUGUGGUACUCGAUGAGCUGAUGUUGCAUGUGGAAAGUGGUGCCUCUUCGAUUUUUGAACCAACGGCCCUGUUUCCCUUUCUUUUAUAAGGGCACCAAUUGUGUGCAAGAAGUACAUUCAGAGAGUUAUUGCUUGUAGGAAUUUUCCCCUUACUUCAGAGAUUUAUUGCACCUCAUUUCUCCUUCAUCAUUUCUAAGAAUGUUUGGCCCAUCCAACCGUCGUUUUGACUUGAACUUUGGUGAAGAGGCAGCCAUGCCUUCUCAAGACAACAUAUGGCGCCCAUCCUUCUUAUCCCCUACUGGUCCUCUUACCAUUAGGGACUCUGUGAUGAAGAAUGAUAUGACCGCUGCGGUGGUGGCCAGGAACAUUCUCACUCCCAAAGAUAACAAACUACUUUCCAAACGGUCUGAUGAGUUGGCUGUUAAGGAUUCUCUAUCUCUCAAUGUGCAGGUUCUGUGUCUAAUAUGACCCAAUACCUAUUUGCUCGAACCUGCCAAGUUGAAUCAUUGGCGACUGAAGUGAUAAGUCUCAAACAAGAGAUCAGAGGGCUCAAGCAUGAGAAUAAACAGUUGCACAAGCUCGCACAUGACUAUGCUACAAACAUGAAGAGGAAGCUCGACCAGCUGCAGGAAUCUGAUGGUCAGAUUUUACUUGAUCAUCAGAGGUUUGUGGGUUUGUUCCAAAGACAUUUAUUGCCUUCGUCUUCUAGGGUUGUACUGCGUAAUGAAGCUCCAAAUGAUCAACCUUCGGUGCCUCUCCUUCUGAGGUUCUGCCUAGUACUGAGGCUCCGAAUAAUCACCAUCUGGUGCCUCCUCUUUCUGGGGCUCUGCCGACUGCUGAGACUUCUCCUGAGCAACCUUUGUGAAAGCUCCCUCUUGUUUGUUUAUUUUGAUUGAUGUAUAUGUACAUAUUUGUAACUUAUCGGAGAUAUCAAUAAACAAGCUUUGCUUCAUGUCAACAUAUUGUGUUAAAUACACCAAGACAUUCUUCACUAAGUUCUUUGAAUUUUUCCUUUUGUUGAAGCUUGUAUGUUAAUGCUUUGUGAGUAAAGCAUGUAGGUUAAGGUAGUGCUCCUUUAAUUUCCCGAGUGAGGAAAACUUCUCGUUUGGAGACUUGAAAAAUCCAAGUCACUGAGUGGUCGUGAGACUUCCGAGUAUCAAAGUGCAGUGGUAUAACAUUUUAAUGAAUGAAAUGUAGAGAUUUUACUUGGACAUUCAUAGUUCAAAACUCUUCAAUCUCUUAAAUUACUGUAAUAAUUUCGAAUUCCUCGUUAUUAAUGGAAUUCUUCAUCACUUUUACCGGAGAAAGUUUGACUUAGCUAACAAUAACGUAUACACUUGUAUUUGAUUUGAUAUUUAGUUAUUGGCCCGUUGCGUAUUUAGUUUGAUAGAUAAUUGAAAAAAUGAUGUAGUGCGAGUUGGGUAUUGCUCUAGUGUGUAGUGUUUUCUUCUUCAAUCAAUUGUAUCUCAAGUUUAAGUUUUAGGACAAUUAGAUACAAUAAAUAUAUGUUGACAUUGGUAGAUUAUGUCCUCAUUAUAUAAUCAUUUAUUAGGUAAUUAUUAUGUCAUCGAUAUAUGACCAACAUAUUGUCGUUACACAAAAAACUCCAUUGGUUCAAAAGCUAGUACAUACACGUGGCCAUGGGUGUAGAACAAUCAAUUAAAAUUUGAAAGUAAAGCUGCUUCAUACUAAUUUCUCGUUGACAUUAACGCUAAAAACUUCUUUAGACGAAAAUUUGAGUGUCACUAAUAUUAUAAUACGUAUAUCUUUGUCAUAUCACGUAAUAAUAUUAAAUAAAUGUUUUAUGUAAUUCGUAAUAAGGAUUUCUUGGUCUAGAUAGGCCGGCGAGGGUUUCAGAAUCUUUUUAUUUGUUUAACAGGAUACUUAACCUAGAAAUAGCUCAAUCAUAAGGUCCAACAGCUGAAAGAUCACGACACACAACCUAAUUUUCCAAGUUUAAUUUUAAGGAAAACUAAUGAAAAGGGCUUGAAAACUUUGAGUUUUAAUGAUAAGGACAAAAUAAAGAGUAAAGUGAAUAGUAUCAGGAUUGAUUUUUUAGUGUAAAAAUGUGGUUUUUCGUUAAAAUGAACAGUACCGGGUUCUUUUCGUUAAAGUUCCCUUAAUUUUAUGGGUUUAUAGUAUAUCUCUUUUUAGCCGGCCUCUUGGACCUUGCUGCCUUUUUGUUGGGUUGGGUUGGUUUUGGGCGUUUUGCAUUCUUUGUUCUAUAUUUUUGUUUAUUUAUUUUUUCUAUCUAACUAUUAAGAAUUUAAUUUAUAUAACUAAAUAGUCAAAUGUCAUUCGGCUUCUACGAUGAGAAGUUUGGAAACACUGGUAAGUGAUGCUUUUAUUCAUUUGAUAUAUAUGGGUGGCCGUCGGACAAUAUGAUUGAUAUGUUUAUAUUAUAAAUUGAUUGUUUUUGUUGAUGCCAUCAUCGAUCUAUAUUUUAUUCAUCUAAAUAACAUGGAUUCCAAUUCAGAUGUAGAAGGAGGAGCACCCGGUAUACAUAACAAUAGCGAUGUUCUAAGUAUUCUAAAAAACUACUCAUGUAUGAGUUCUCAAUGAAAGCUUUGCAUCAAUUGACCCAUUAAUGUAUCUCUGAUAUCCAAAUAGAGCGAACCACUAUUGCAAUUUCAAUAAAUAAAACGUCCAACUAAGAAACUUAGUAGUAUGAACAAAUAAUAAGAUCAAUUUGUUUGGCUUAAUAUUUGAAUAUUGGGGCUCAAAAGAAGGAAAGUCCAAGGAUGCCAAAUUAAAGGAAGACUUGCCCGAAGCCCAGUUCAAGCCCAUGAAUAAACUGAAGCCUUCUCAGCCAAAAACAAGCCACGUGUCUAUGAGUGAAGUGAUAAGUGAUGGAGGCUAACUUACUAUCAUCCAAAGAACACUUUCUAGUGGCAUUACAAGUAAAAAGUCGAUGACUCACUACCUUCCAAGUGUUUUCGAGCAAGAGCAAAAGUUAUAGCAACUAGGCCAAACUACCUAUAAAAGGAAGAAGAGACAAACUCUGCUUUCAAGCCAGAUUUGCAUCCAAAAGCUAAAAUCAACCCAGAUUCAGUCAUUUUUAGCAUCCAAAAGCUGAAAAAAGCUAUCUCUUGUCUAGUAUAAAAGCUUUACUACCUCCCUUAGUGUUGUAGUAUCGAUUCCCUCGUGUAAACUUGUUUACCAUCCAUCCCUUUUUAGCAUAUAAACCCUGUAAAUUCAAAGAGAAGUGACUGCAAGAAGUUCAACCUUACCAGACAAGGUUAAAUCUUGCCUGAAACUAUUUGUUUACUUUCUAAAUUAGUAGAUCUAUUGCUUAAUGCAUUAUCCAGCAUGUAUUCAAGUUGUUUCCACCUGUUUUUCUGUUUUAAGAGUCUUAUUUGCAUCUGGAUAUGGUUAGCUUGAUGGAUAUAUUUUCAUUAAAAGUAAUUUGAAACCAAACACAUGACAUAAGGGGCUUUGAACUCCCUUCAUUCAAACAUACAAGACCAUGAACUAAAAGUCCUUGUUUACAAGGUAAGAAAAAUAACUUAAUACAAACUUAACCCAUCUACAAUCAUUUGAUAAUAAGAAGUUGAUGUAACUUGGGGCGUAAGUAAUCAACAUAAAACACACUUGUUCAACAUUUGCUAUACUGAGAUAGUAGUGGCACGCCUAAGCACUUAGUUAGUUUUGAUUGCGAGCCUCAAGGCUUACACUUAAGGCCCUAUAAAGGCACUUUUCAGAACUAACUUUGUUCUCCUCUUGUAGUACAUCAACAAGCAAGAACCCUACCACACAUCCAAAGUACCAAUCCUUUAGAGAGCUGUGCUGAGGUCCAAGGAGCCUUCUCCAGAGAAAUCUUUACCUGAACCCAAAUCAUUCGUAUCCCAAAUUCUUGAAGCUUCAUGCAUAUAUAACAAAGAGUCUACAACAAACCUGUUACCAGUGUCCAUAGAAGAGAUUAGGCAUCUUAUUCUUGGCUUCCCACAAGAUUGGCCUUCUUCUUUAGAACAAACUUUUGUACUCUCCCAGUAGAAUUAGGCAAAUCCCCAAACACGAAAGCUUGUGGAACCAUAAAAACAGGCAAUUUCUCCUCACAAACUUCACAAUCUCUUUACAACUUUCUUCACCACCACCACCAAAACCCUCCUUCAACUUCACAAAAGCACAAGGAGUCUCCCCCAAAACCUCAUCAUGUUUCCCCACAACAGCAGCCUCCAAAACUUGUGGAUGAGUCAGCAAAACUGCCUCCACCUCAAGUGUGCUUAUAGACUCCCCACCAGAAAUUAUAAUGUCCCUUGCCCUAUCUUUCAUCUGAAUGUACCCAUCUGAAUGCCGAACUGCCAGAUCACCAGUCCUAUACCAUCCGCCCUUGAAAACUUCAUGAUUAGGGUUUGAGUUUUUCAGAUAUCCCAACAUCAAAGUGUUGCCUCUUAACAUAAUCUCCCCCAUUGUUUUUCCAUCAUAUGGCACACUCUCCAUACUAUUCAAAUCCUUCACAUCAACACCUUCCAUCAUUAGAUUGUACUGAGAUUCCAACUUGGGUUUGCAUGGUGUGACAAUUGCCGGUCCAAGAGCCUCGGUCAUGCCAUAUCCAUGGCUCACAUUAAACCCUAAUUCUGUAACCUUGAUCAGAAUCUCCGAUGCUGGCAAUGCACCAGCAACAAUAAUCUCCACCCUUGAUUUUAUAACCCUAGUUUGAUCAUUUUCCGAGGCAUCUGCUAGAAUGUUUAAUAUAGAGGGUGCACCACAUAAGUGUGUUACCUUGUGAAGAUCAAUUGCUUCAAAAAUGGCUUUGGCUGAGACACUUCUUAGGCAGAUAUUGGUGCCACCAAGAGCAGCAACAGCCCAAGGGAAGCACCAUCCAUUGCACCUAAACAUUUCGACCGUCCAUAGAAAAACAGGCAUUUUUCUCAUGUCACUCUGAAAAAUUGCUCCCAGUGAAUUCAGGUACACAGCUCUGUGGCUGUACACAACUCCUUUGGGAUUACCUGUUGACCCAGAAGUGUAACUCACUGAAAUCGGGUCACACUCAUUGUUGGGUCUGAGAAUCUGAAAACCGGGUUCUGCUGGUUCCUGUAGGUCAUUGUAAUUUAUGGCACCUAAUGGAAGAUCAAGAUCAAUAUGAGAAGAUGAUGAUGAUUGGUCACAUUCUGGGAUUAGAAUGAGGAGAGGUGGCUUGGAGUUGGAGUUUGAUUGGGACAAAAUGUCAACUGCUUGGAGGACAACUUCAAG
rnacentral:lncRNA from 1 species